rnacentral:rRNA from 1 species
CCAGAGAACUUAGCAGAGAUGCUUUGGUGCCUUCGGGAACUCUGAGACAGGUGCUGCAUGGCUGUCGUCAGCUCGUGUUGUGAAAUGUUGGGUUAAGUCCCGCAACGAGCGCAACCCUUAUCCUUUGUUGCCAGCGGCUCGGCCGGGAACUCAAAGGAGACUGCCGGUGAUAAACCGGAGGAAGGUGGGGAUGACGUCAAGUCAUCAUGGCCCUUACGGCCAGGGCUACACACGUGCUACAAUGGCGCAUACAAAGAGAAGCGACCUCGCGAGAGCAAGCGGACCUCAUAAAGUGCGUCGUAGUCCGGAUUGGAGUCUGCAACUCGACUCCAUGAAGUCGGAAUCGCUAGUAAUCGUAGAUCAGAAUGCUACGGUGAAUACGUUCCCGGGCCUUGUACACACCGCCCGUCACACCAUGGGAGUGGGUUGCAAAAGAAGUAGGUAGCUUAACCUUCGGGAGGGCGCUUACCACUUUGUGAUCCAUGACUGGGGUGAAGUCGUAACAAGGUAGGCGUAGCGAG